AAAAAAAGUCGAUGGCUUUCGAGGUAGGAGGCCGCUCUCAUCAGAUAUGGAGCUAGGUGCGGAUGCAAUGUGGCUCUCGAUAGCACCUUAUGGAUAGUUGUGUCCCAAAGGAAGGAUGAGAAUAGCUGCUGAAGUCCUAAAGAGCAAGCCUAACUCAAGCUGUUGGCACACAGGCAUUACACAGAAAGCUGGAAGUUGAAAUGGUGGAGUCCAACUUGCCUGGACCAGCUUUAUGGGUUCUGCUGGUAAUGUUUUUAUCCAUGGAUGGCUUGCUUGGGUAUGGAGAGUCGCUUGAAC